GACGAACGCUGGCGGCGUGCUUAACACAUGCAAGUCGAACGGAAAGGCCCUGCUUUUGUGGGGUGCUCGAGUGGCGAACGGGUGAGUAACACGUGAGUAACCUGCCCUUGACUUUGGGAUAACUUCAGGAAACUGGGGCUAAUACCGGAUAGGAGCUCCUGCUGCAUGGUGUGGGUUGGAAAGUUUCGGCGGUUGGGGAUGGACUCGCGGCUUAUCAGCUUGUUGGUGGGGUAGUGGCUUACCAAGGCUUUGACGGGUAGCCGGCCCGAGAGGGUGACCGGCCACAUUGGGACUGAGAUACGGCCCAGACUCCUACGGGAGGCAGCAGUGGGGAAUAUUGCACAAUGGGCGGAAGCCUGAUGCAGCAACACCGCGUGCGGGAUGACGGCCUUCGGGUUGUAAACCGCUUUCGCCUGUGACGAAGCGUGAGUGACGGUAAUGGGUAAAGAAGCACCGGCUAACUACGUG
rnacentral:rRNA from 1 species